AAAAAAAAAAAAAAGUAUAUGAAAAAAAAAAUCAUAUUUUGCUUUUUUGUUUAAUAGGUGAGCCAACUCCGGCUCAACUGCUGCAUUUGGUAUUACGGCCAAUUUGGCUGCAGUACCAACUGCUGCAGUUGGGCCUUCUUGUGCAGAUGCAACUGCAGCAGUUGGGUCUAACUAUACCAAACCAAACAAAAAAUUAAUAGAUGCAUGCAUUUCCGACUGCAAUGCAGUUGAAAAUACAUGCAACCAAACAGUCCCUUAGUGUGAUAUUAAUAAGUAAGAAACAUCAACAAACAGUCAAAAAAACAGCAAUACAAAAUUUACCUUCUCAACAAUCACGCCUUUCGAAAAGUUAGGAAACUUUCGGACGAUAUGUUCCAGCACAUCUACACGUCCAGAAAAUAAGUUUGCUGUUUCCACUCUAAUCCACGGCCGACAAAAUUGCCUAUGACAUAAAUCGGUUAUUAGAAAUUUAGCAAAAUAUUUCCAUUAAAAUUUUCACAAGCACUAUAUGAAAUGACACAGCAUAAAAAGAUUUGGGACAUACCCAUGUCUUUUAAAAUGUGUCCACCAUCUGGAUACUAUAUUCAUGGGCAAAAAUGGAGUACAUAGACGGCCAAUAAAAUUAAUUCCAAUGACCUCUCCAUCGAGAUUAAGAAGUGGUCCCCCAAUUCCAGACUACAAUAACAAAAGAGAAUUAUAAUUCUAAUGCAUAAUUAUCAUGUCCCAACCAAAAAAUAGGAAAUCACAUGCACCUAUUCACUUGUGACAUGCAUAAUUACCGACGUAAUUGUGCACAUGUACAUGCAGGCAAGAAAGAGGACACCACCUUAGUAAUUUUACAAUUCGCUCUGAAGAGCUCCUUGCAAUCAAGACGGCAACAAUCGGCACUAAAGAUAAAGGAAGAACGCAAUCGUUAAUAAAAGAAAAGUUUUGGUAUAGAACUGUAAAAAAUCCAUACUAUGUUUCACAGAUACGGAUAAGGAGAUACGGAUACGACACGAUACGGAUACGGUGAUACGACAAUUCCUAAAACUUUUAGAAUACGAUACGCAGGAUAUACUUGAGUAAAAUAUUAUUUUAAAUAUAUUUAAAUAUAUGUUGAUUAUAUAUAAUGAUAUAUUGAGAACAAUGAGAAUAUCUGGACUAUAUUAAGGAAUAUAUUCUAAUAUGCAUUAACUUGUAUAAUUGUUCUACAUAUGUUUAUAAAAAAAAUUAAUUAAUCAUAUAAAAUAAUAAUUCAAAAAGUAUCAAACCAACUAUCAUCUAACUUGAUCAAAUGAUAACAAUAGAUAUGUAGUCGCACAAACUAGAUAAUUAGCCAUUCAAUAUAUAUGUCUGUUUUGUUAGUUCUAUUAUUAAAAUAGUAACAAAAAAAAAAAAUGCUAACGAUUUAAUAGAGAAGAAAAAAAAAUCAUAUUUUUUAUAGCCUUUGUUGCUUAAUGCUAGAAUGACAAAUUAGAUGAAAGAGAGUAAAUACUGUGUGAAAAUAGAACGAGAGGAAGUGUCUUCUACCAUUCAAGAGCAAAAAGAUAGAUGAAAUGACAAAUUGAACAGAGAUUGAAGUUUUUCUCACUAUUUUUCUUCUUUUGAAUAUGUUUGGAUAUGAGCUUUUAAAAAAAUUUUAAGUUUCGAUCAUUUUAGACCAAGAAAGAAUAUGACCGUGUUCCCUCCGUAUCCCUCAUGUAUUCGAGUCGUAUCCUAUAUUUUUUUAUUUUUUAAAAAUGCUGGAUACUUCAUUUCUGUAUCGGACACGUAUCGGACGCAUAUCGGUAUCCGAUACGUAUCCGAUACGGCAUGAAAUUUGAAGUAUCCGUGCUUCAUAGAUUAGCACAAUUUGAACAUUACAAUAAGCUUAGCUCUAAAGGUAUUUUUUAGAUGCAUAAAUAUAAUUAUUCCAUCCUGAAUUUUAAAAUAAAAUAAACAAAUUUUCAACUUGUAAUUAAAUGUAGUGUUAAGUCUUACCUAAAUAUGCCGGGAGCGACCAUAAGAUCAUACCCCUCCGUAUGAUAGCGGCCAACUGCUACAACCUUGUCCCCAGGAACAAGAAUAAAUUUGUUGGAAUGUCGGCCAAGAGUGGGUUUGGUGGUUUCUCUUAAAUCACGAGCAACUUCGGGGCUAAUCGGCAUGGAAUCAUCCACAUCUCUUAGUAUUGCAGUUUGUAGAGGAACUUCCGAACGAAUGCGAACUGUGGCAAUAUUGUAGUAAAAGUCGCAUCCAAUAACGUCUCCUUCAUAGGAUUUUCCAUCCCAAAAAUGUACAAGGAUCUGAAAAAGAAAAAAUAAAUAAAGACCUUUUUUUCCUAACAUAUAAGUACAAAUAAAUAUUUACAUACGUAUACAUAAUACUACACAUGCACAUCUAAUAAAGAAAAAAAUAGAAAGAUAAAGAUAAAACUAAAAUCGCAUAUUAUCAACCUUUAUAUAUAUUAUCUGCCACUAUAUCCUCAAAAUUGGACCGUCUUAAUAAACUAGUUGUAGUUAACAAAAAUGCUUCGAAAAUGCCAUCAUCAGUGCUGUUGCAUUCAAUCGUUGUCCCAGAAGCACAGAAAAGUAUUUCUUCACCUACAAAAGAAAUUUUUCAAAAGAUAUUAAAUAAUUAAAAAAAAAAGGUGUUAAAAGGUGAAAUGGUACCGGCCUUCUUUCGAAUGCUCGGACAUGGAUGAAAGAAAAUUUACCUACAAACGAUACAAGACUAGCUACCGUUUCUGAUAAUUUCAGAGCAGCUCUUUUCGAAUAUAUAUCUAAAUCCGCAUUAGAGUCAUAUAUCCGGAAUGUAUUUUUAAAAGUAUUUUCCAUAAUCAUAAAAGAGGAAGGCCCUGUACACAAAUAAAAAUAAAUAAAUAAUAAUAAAUUUAAUUCAAUCUAAAUAAGAAAAUGAAGUUUAAAAAUAGUUCAGAAAACACACCUAAACUAAUUUCGUGCCUCCAUGGGCUGAAAUCCCUCAUCUUUUCUUCGGACGAGCGGCUAUCACUCUGCAUGGUGCCUACAAAACAAUGUUUAGAGAAACAUUAAUAAGAACUUUUAAGUAAAGUAUUCCCAACCCAAAAAGAAGGAAAAAAAAGAAAUACAUACCACGAGUUCAAACAAGUAUCAAACUAAAUAAAACGAGACCCACAAAAAUGAAAUUAAUAAAAAAAGGAAAAAAAAUUUCCAAAGCACCACAUAAAAAUUAUAGUGUUUACCAAUAAAUUUAAAGAAGCAAACUUCAGAAUGCUCCCGAAGGCAACUCAGACGAACUCACAAGAGAGCGAGGGAGACGAGACUCCUGCUGGGAUUUUCAACACUGGCUUCUAGGGUUUUGCAAAAGCACUUUCCGCACUAACUGGUCUCGUUGUGGUGGGAUAGAAGAUAAAUCGGAACAAGCUGGAGUGAAAGUUUAUUAGAGGUCAACUUUGCUAUAGAAAUUAGCUGGGAUUCAAAGAAAUACUCUAGACAGAGAGAGAGGGAUGAGAGGGAUUGGAAGGAGCCGCUGCAUUGCUAGGGUUAGCAAAUAAAUCAACUGUGGUCGAGAUAUAUAGAAGUUGCAACAAUUGUAACAAAGUCCCCAGCUAAUUCAAAAUCGGCUACACGGCCCAAAACUUACGGGCGUGUAGCAUCAUAGUAUAGAGCGGUCCCCACCUUUUUAAUUUCUCAUUUGACGUAUCCCCAAAUCCCCAAAUAUUUUAGAGGAGAAAUUAUUGGCUGCGUAUUGCUAGCGAUGUACGCACUUCAUAGCAGGAACAAUUUAUACAUAGCAGGAACAAUUUAUAGGAUUUUUUUCGAAAAUAACCCUCUGAAAUUUUGUAAUUGGCAAAAUAACCCUCUGAAAAUUUUAUUUGUGAAACUAACCCUCCUCUCGCCACCUCAGCCACCACCUCAGCAUUUCUCAUAAAGACGGUGGCUCGUUCACCGUCUUUACUAAAAAACACUUGAAGACGGCAAAUGGUUCACCGUCUUCUCUAGGCGUGAACCCUUCACCGCCUUCUCAGCAAUUCCCCGCGUAUCAGCGACGAGAAGACGGUGACUCGUUUACCGUCUUAACAAAGGCGGUGAAUCGUCUACCGCCUUAUCUAGGCGUACACCAUUCGCCGCCUUCUCUGUUGCCCAAAUAAGACGGUGACUUGUUCACCGUCUUUACUUAAUCUUGAAGACGGUAAGUAGUUCACCGUCUUCUCUAGGCGUGGAACCUCCACCGCCUUCUCAGCAAUUCGUUUACCUCUUUAAGAAAGACGGUAAGUUGUUUACCGCCUUAUCUAGGCGUAAACCAUUCACCGCCUUCUCAGCAAAUCCCCCCGACAGCUGGGGGCAUAGAUAAGACGGUGAAUCGUUCACCGUCUUACUUAAGACGGUAAAUUGUUCACCGUCUUUGGUGCAGGACUAGCCCUUUUAGCCCUUAAGACGGUCAAUGGUUUACCGCCUUAUCUGAGCAAGUUUACCGUCUUCAGUGUAGAACUCCACCCAGCCUAAUUUCGCCAAGUCCUCGAGAGAGGGGCUAAAACACAGAUAAGACGGUGACUCGUUCACCGCCUUAACAAAGCCGGUGAAUAGUCUACUGCCUUAUCUAGGCGUAAACCAAUACCAGGACUUAGCCGUUUUUUUCUCCGGUUUUGUGUUAUUUGCACUAAAGACGGUGAACCAUUCACCGUCUUUAGUGCAAACAGCAGCAAAUGCUGUUUUAAGCUUGAUUUUAAAGAAAAUUUCAACAAGUUUGACGCAAGUUUUUUCACGAUAACAAAUUUUUCAACAAGAAACACAAGAUCACGAGUGGAAUAACAAGAUACAAUCAACAAGAUAAAAAUAUCAAAAAAAACCCCGAGAAAUAUACAAAUAUGCACUAAAUUAAGUAUUAUAUAAUAUUAUACAAAGUCUAAGUUAUCUAAAUCAAAAAUAUACAAUCAGCCUCUCGAUCGUCCUCUCCCUCGACGUCCUCGGCCACGUCCUCGUGCACGGCCACGUCCACGUCUACGGCCACCCUCUACAACGAGAUCAGCAAUAGGUAUGUCAUCAAUUGCCUCGAUAUCGGCCAUCGCAUCGAGAUCCGCAAUCAUAACGCCCUCGCGAUGCUCCGGUAUCGCCUGAGUCUCCUCGAUAGUGGCUGGUCUAGAUGUUGGGCGGGCUUGUGAUGAAGACGCGGCAUGACGUCGAGAAUAGACGAAUGUAAAGUGAUCUCUAGAGACUGGCGGCGGCAAAAGCAAGUCCAAGUCCAAUGGCCUAGUAGGAAAUCUCUCAGGGGCGGCGGGUAUAUCAGCAACAUCACUAGGAGAUGGAGAUCCAGCAGAUGUCGGUGUCUGACGGUGGUGAUGACCCGAUGUCGAUGCAUGUCCAAAAUCUCGACCUCUGAUAUCAGUGGCGACAGGUAUAGUAGGAAUGUACUCCAGUACACUAUCAAGAUCAAUAUCGAUACCCGUCAAUACAUCAAUCAUCGCCUCAUAAGAAGGUCGAUCAUGAACUAGGCUCCUGAUGCUAUACUGUGUCUGUCGUAUAGCGUCCACCUGCAUUAUAGAUAAUAACUCACCUUUGGCAAUCUAUAAUAUACAAAAUAUUAAAAAACUAAUAAAUGGGCUGAGUGAUCGUACCAAAGCUCUCUCGGUCUGGCCACGAGGCUGGUAAGUCAAUGGUGGACGCUGUACUGGACGAGAAAUCCAUCGUCUCGUGAUCUGCCAGUACCACUCCAUAUAAAUCGAGGUCGCCUGUACUGGAUCAUCACCGACAAUCAGAUGCUGGUCAAUAAUAGACUGUAAUCGCUGUCCCCAUCUCUCGAUGUGUGCAGCAUGAAAGUGGCCCCAAUGCUCAUCUGGCCGCCCCUGAGAUGUAAAGCGACGGAUGGUCUCCACAUGAAUAGGUAUAUGCUGCAGGAGACCAAACUGCCGAAGGACUCGAUCGGGCACGUGAAGCUCGACGAUAUGAAAACAAAUCAGCGUGGUCCGCGAUCGCCAUACCUCACUGCCCUGUACACAGAAUGCUGGUAGCACCUCUAAUACAGCAUCUGUGUACGGCCGCCAUGUAAUCUGUGAAAAAGCCAAUAAUAGUCAGCAGAAUGCAUUAAUACGGUUGAAUAUUGAAAUAAUGGUUGCAUUAAUACGUACCUGUGUCUCUCGCUGCUGAUCUAGCUCAUCUCUAUAGAACUCUAUAUCAGUCGUCCUAACGUUGGCCCCAAAACGUAAACCGCCGGCAUUCGUCCACCUGAUAUUUGAAAAGUAUGUUAGUUGCAAAUAUAUAGGAAGAAAUAUAAUAUGUAUCAUAUUUAAUUAUUAUACCGGCAACCCAAAGGGCAAUCAGCCAUGUCGGCAAUAGCUCCAACGCCAGUAGGUCGGCCGACAUGAAGAUGGUCCCAUGCCCAAAUCUAUAAAUAAAUUAUAAUAAAUUAGACAUGUAAACUUAAAUAGGAGAAGUUUUAUAUAACAAUUAUUAUAUAUUACCUGUACUAAUGUCGCGAAACAACAGCAUUCGACCUUGUCCUUUAAUGACGUCGUUCCCAAGGCGCGAUAAAGGUAGGCCAAUGCUGCCGACCCCCAGCUAAACCACACACUGGUAAAAAUCCGCAAAAGUGGUAGCCCUUAAGAUGACUCUAAAUCACGGUGGGUUUUGGCAACAGACUACAAGCCAAUUGAUAUAACCAAUAUGCAGGCGCUGUGGCGCAACUAUCCAGCCGGAGCAUCAAAUGAUAUGAUGGAAGUGCUGGUAUAUCCAAUCUAAGCGAAUCUGGCCAGCUCGAUGCCAUCCGCACAACCCCUAAAAGCUCUGACAAAUCUCUAUCCAUCGGAUCUGUUAGAUCGCCGUGACAGGCGCUCCAUCGACACGAAGACCUGAAAUAACCGCCACAUCCUGAAGUGUUAAUCGUCAUCUCACCGUACGGGAAGUGAAGGUCUGGGCUCCCGUCGCCAUCUCUCGACCAGAGUCCCAAAUAGAGACUGAUCGAGCUGCAGACGCCAUAGUCGAGAAAUACCGUAGAAUCCUGACUGUCGUAGCAAAUCUGAGCACCGCUGAUGAUCCAUAUCCACUGGUUCAAAUUGCGCCAUGCUCUACGAACUGAACGCCGCGAUAUCCCUACAGUGACAAAAAAUAGUUAGCACAAACAUUUAUAUGUAUUAAUAAUAAACAUAAUUUAUAGAAAAUAAUUCUUACUCUCACCUCAGUCGCUGAUAAAUGAAGACCUAUGUAGAUGCUGUCUAUCAGGACGGACUCAUCAACCGGUCCCGCCUCCUCUAGAUCUGCCAUCUGCAAUUUUAAAGAAUUUGUAAAUUAGUAACAUGCAUCCAAAUAGCGCAUUGAAUAUUGGAAUAUUGAAAUUUAAAUAAUACUAGUAAGUUAGGUAACAAGUCCUACGUCGACGUCCUUGUGUGCGCUCUCUGUAUUCUGUGGACAAGUAUUUCUAUAUAUGACCGUGCUGCUUACAAAUGUCCAUUUUGCUUCGUCGACCACUGGUUGCGUCCAUUAUAUACGAAAUACGUGUUGAUCGUGGUCGACCUUUCUUUCUUCUAACUGGAGGCGGUACAAUUGGGGGCCAUGGGUCGGGCAGUAGCGGUCUGUCUGGAACUGGAUGAAAGCGGUGCGUUGAUGUCUGGCGAUAACACUCUACAGUAUACAAUGGGAACAAAGACUAUGAUAAUCUAUUCUUAGUUGUGAAUUACGCAAACUGCUUAAAAUAUGCGAGCAAGGAUGCCCGUUAGCUUGAAUUCCCCGCAAUUGCAAUCCGCUUCUGUUCAUUAACGGUAACAUUGUAAUCAGAGUAUCCUGUUUGAACUUUCAAACUCAAUAGUCCAAAAUCGAUAUACAAUGUGUCCCGUGCCGUCACCAUAUUCAUCGUAAUUCGACUUUGUAUUUUGGUGCUAACCGUUGCGCGUCAUAACUUUCACCAUUUUCACGACGCUUUACAAAAUAACUAUUCAGUUUGUAAAAAGUUCCCGCGACAAAUGCGUUACUGGAAGAGCACGAUACCUUAAGUACCCAUAAACUCUCGGACAAUUUGUAAUCAUCAACCCGAAGCGUCGACCUCCAUCAAAUGCCCACGCCCAAUACUCUUGUAUACUUCGAGCUCAUCGACCACUUCACGCAUCCUCAUACGCGCGUAACUCAUCUUUUCAGUUUAUAAUAUUCUACCGACAUUGGAGCACUGCCGAUACUAUAAAAUUUGUCUAAUAAUGAUUCAUUUUAAACCGCCUUAGCCAUAUUUGCUUUCAGUGUCGAAGACACCACCGGGUGCAAUGCCGAGUCGAGUAGAUAUAACUCAGCCACUAUUUCCUUUAAGCCACUAAAUCUAUCAGAUAUAAAAAAAACCGGUCGAUUGCGUAUUAUAACAUAAUGGCCCAAGUUAUGUAAAAACCAACGCAAGCUUCCACCAUUUGCGCCUUCGCAAUUGCAAAAGCUAAGGAAAAAUGCUAUCAUCGCAUCGACAGCCGUCGCUAUCAAUGCAUGGCCUUCGUAUUUGCCAUACAAGUGAGUCGCAUCAAUGCUCACCACGGCGACAAUGUGGAAAUCCAUGAAUAGAAGGAGCAAAUGACCAAAAAGGACGGCCAAACUGACAUUAUUCCCUCUGAUGGCCAUCUAUGAUCAAGCCGCAAAUAAGUCCAUGAUUAGUACUCUGCCAUAGUAAGAUACCGAGGCAGUCUGUGUUGACUGUCCCAGCUCCCAUAAAUAAUUUGUAAUGCUUUUGCUCCUUGCAGCCAUGCCUUCCAAUAAAAAUUUAUUUGAACAGGCAAAGUGGAUCGCACCGUUUCCGGCACUUCUUUUGGCGUCAUAUUUAGUCUUGCCUUCAUUAACGGGAUGAGAAUAGUGUAAUAUAUGAAGUACAAUUACUAGCGCCGCAUUACAUUGGAAUACACCAAGUAUGUUGACCGCGUAUGUCUUAACUCUGAGAAUAUUUGCAUCCUUAGGAACCGAAGCGUGUAACCUCCAAGGGACCUCCUCAACGUGUGCAUUUCACUGUAUAAGUUUUGGUAGAUUUCACAACUUUCAUCUGAACACUGUGAUAAUGUCCAUCGACAAGAGCGUCCACUAAAGAGCCUUAUCAUAAGACUUCACGGAGCCAAGGCCCGUCAAUGCUAGGUAGAUUGAAUUGUACGUCUAACAUCGAACUCAGUCGAAUUCACAACAUACUGUUGUAUCCAAUUAUUAUCCAUAGGAAAUUACCCGAUGUCAAUAAAAUCAAGUUCCUUGUCGGGAUUGUCUACAUAAUCGUUGUUUACAUGCGGGUCGUCAUUCAAACUGUAAAUGGCAUCGCAAGGCAAUUUAAUCCACCAUCGUGAUCAUCUUCAAUGUCAACGGCUAGAUCAUUCAAUCGUCGUCCUCAUCCUGAAUUACCGUCAUUAUCAAUAAGUGCAUCUCCUGAUCACCGAAUCAUUAGAAUGAGUUCAAUCGUCCUGAUACCGUCAUUAUCAUCUCCUUCAUCGACAAUAUUAUCAAGAACUUCAUUACAAUUGUAUAAGGGUGUAAUAGCCUGCAAUAUGUCCCGAAUGUUUACUAUAUUAGGUAAAAUUUCAUUUAUAUUAAUUAAAUAAUCCAAAUUUUCUUUACCCCCAAUCGUAAUUUUCAAGGUGUAUGAAAUAUUCCUGGGUUCGUCACGUGACAUCGAGGUUGCGCACUGACCGUCGACGGUUGCGCAGACUCGAGGUUCGGCACGUGACGUCCAGGUUGCGCACGUGACGUCGAGAGGUUCGGCACGUGACGUCCAGGGUUGCACACGUGACGUCGACGUUGCGCACGCUGACGUCGACGGUUCGGCACGUGACGUCGAGGGAUGCGCACGUGAAGUCGAGGGUUGCGCACGUGGAGACUGACUCUGUCUGCAGUAUUCAUAAUUAUAAUGUAUGAAAGAAUUCAUAAUUUAAAAAUAUUCACCGCAAUCUUGAGAUAUAUUACUGACCUUGUCAUUCUUACGCCUUGUUCAUUAUCAACUUCACGGUCACCAAUUGGAUUCUCCAGAAAUCCCACAUCGAUAUCAUUAGUAGCAGCUUGUGAAUAAAACCUUGCGUGAUAUUGUGUCUCUGACACAUAAAUCAUUAUCUCUUAUGUAUAGCUACACACAUCCAUAAUGUUCAAACAAUCCAAUUAAUCCCUCCAAUGAUCAUCAUCUACUAAUCAUGAGCAAUAUAUUCAUUGCUCCCGUAGGGCAUCGAAUUGUGUAUUUAAGACAACAUUCUUCUCUAUUACAAUUACUAAACGAUACAUUCUCUCUCAAAAUUCGCAUAGGUCGUAUCUGAACGAAUCGCAAUCAAUUUUCUUCGACCACCGAAAUUCGAGGACCAUUCCAUCCAUAUUAACUGUCCAUCCCAAUGAACACUAAAGAGACAUCCGACGGACUAGCCAUUUUAACUACACACGAAAAUAAAUCAACAACAUUCUCCAUGUUCUCAUCACGAAAACUAAACCUAAGUGAAAUGUUAACUAAAAUGAUAGAAAAUUUGCAACAAGAAAUAAAGGGAGUGUACUAGUGGUAAAUUCAAUCUUUAAAAAAAAGAUGAAGUCAUAAAGUUGAACCUUUAUAAGUUUGAUACAUGUCCAUUUCUUCCUCGAAAGUCUAUUUCUUGAUUAUUACUCUAAACACUAAAGGAGAAACACUUACAUGCCACACUAUAUUUUCAGCCAAAACACACUUACAUGCACACUAUAUUCUGAUUAGGAAUUUAGGCAGAUACCUUAUUUCAUGCUCAACUAAUCAAGAUUUGUAAAAGAAUAAUACAUUGGCUAAGAAACAUGCCACACUAUAUUUCACCAAAAUCUACAUAUCUCCAUAUAAACAAGAACUGUAACAAGAUACACAAUUUAAACUAGGUUUGGGUUACUUUAAACUAGGUUUAGGGUUAAGGUUUAGGGUUUAGUUUACACUAUUUUAAACUAGGUUUAGGUUUAGUUUAACUAGUUUAAAUCUAGGUUUAGGUUUAGGGUUUAUACUAGUUAAACUAGUUAGAGAAGUUUAGGUUAGGUUUAUACUAGUUAAACUAGUUUAGUGUUUAUGCUCAACUAGUUUAAACUAGUUUAAACUAGGUUUAGGUUUAUACUAAUUAAACUAGUUUAGAGUUUAGGGUUUAUACUAGCUAAACUAGUUUAGGGAUUAUAGGGUUUAGGGUUUAUACUACUUAAACUAGAUUAAACUAGGUUAAACUAGGUUAAACUAGGUUUAAAUCUAGAAAAUUGCUAAGAUAGAAUAUUACUUGCAAUGUGGGUUGCUGUGGCACGGGGGAAGGCUCGGUGGCUCGACAGCGACCGGCGGUGACGUCGGCUUGGGCGGCGGCGACGGCGGCUUGGGCGGCGGCGACUGGCGGGGUGCAGAGGGAGAGAGAGACAGAGAGUUCAGAGAGAAAGAGAGCGAAGAGUGAGGGAGAUGUGUCGGGGCUUCGGGUUUGGGCGGCGGCGACGGCGGCUUGGGCGGCGGCGACGUCGGCUUGGGCGGCGGCGACUGUCGGGGUGCGGAGGGAGAGAGAGACAGAGAGUUAACAGAGAAAGAGAGCGAAGAGUGAGGGAGAGGUGUCGGGAUGGGGUAUACCAGGGUAAGACGGUGAAUUGUUCACCGUCUUCAUAAACAACAUUGGUGACGGUGAACGAUUCACCGUCUUACCUUGAGCCCUGGUAAAGACGGUGAAUAGUUCACCGUCUUAUCUGUGUUUUAUCACCUUGGCCAAAGUUCGGGCCGAAGUUGAGGGCAGAGCAGGGGAUGGAUUCGCCUAAAGACGGUGAAUAGUUCACCGUCUUUAGUACAGACCAAAUAAGACGGUAAACAUUUCACCGUCUUAUCUGUGUUUUACCACCUUGGCCAAAGUUCGGGCCGAAGUUGAGGGAACAGCAGGGGAUGGAUUCGCCGUAAAGACGGUGAAUAGUUCACCGUCUAAUGAAGGCGGUGAACCAUUUACCGUCUUCAUGAGAAGUUUCGCGUAGACGGUGAACGAUUCACCGUCUUUACGAGAAAACUCCAGCCUGGCGUCGACGUGGCGAAAGGAGGGUUAGUUUUCCAAAUAAAAUUUUCAGAGGGUUAUUUUGCCAAUUACAAAAUUUCAGAGGGUUAUUUUCGAAAAAAGCCCUCCAUGCGCGUGUGUGUGUGUGCGGUUUGGGCUGCUACGGCCGGGAGGAAGAAGAAGCAAAAGGAUUUAAUCCCAUUUUACCAUUUUGCCCCUCAACUACACACUAUUCACUACGGGCAGCCUGAAAUCUGAUAAAUUUCGUUGGAGCCCUUCCGGAUGUCCGUUUUCGCUCAAAUUUGACAGGCAGGCUCAGUUUAACGUACUGAGCAAGAAUAUAUCUUAAGUUUUCAGUUUCGACUCCGUUUGGUCACCGAAAACUGUGCCGAACUGCAAUCUUUAUCAGAUAGCUUUCGGAUUUUAUUUCUCACUCUACGGGUGUCAGAAAAAUAUGAAACUUUAAAUCUAGCCUCAUAAAAAUAUUUCUGACAUCCCCGCUAAUUUUCAUAAUUUUCUGAGACUGUGCAUUUUCUGCUAAUUUAUCAGUCCCGUUUCCAACAGAAAAUUCUAAAUCUUUUGUUUUCGCUCCGAUUUCAGUACAGGUCGUUCCCAACCGAUAUUUCACUUCUCUAAAUCCAAUAAAAUAGUAUCUCAUACUAUUUUUAUUUAUUUUUCUCUUUUAUAUUUAAAAUCAGGUAUGUUACACCUUAGUUAACGAACGAAAUUUUAAUCUUUCAGUUUCGACCCCGUUUGGUCACCGAAAGCUGUACCGAACUGUAAUCUUUAUCAGAUAACUGUCGGAUUUAUUUUUCACCUUCCGGGUGUCAGAAUGACAUGAAACCUUAAAUCUAGCCUCAUAAAAAUAAUUCUGACAUAUUCCCAGAUUUUCGGAAUUUUCUGACACUGUACAUUUUUUGCUAAAAUAACAGCCUCGAUUCACACAGAAAAUUCAAAAUCUUCUGUUCUCGCUUCGAUUUCCGCACGAGUCGUUCCCGACUUAUAUUUUACUUCUAUAAGUCCAAUAAAAAUAGUAUCUCACACUAUUUUUAUUUAUUUUUAUCCUUAUUUUAAAAUUCGGUAUGCUACAAUUCUUAUGUGAUUUAUGAGAUCGAGUUUAGAAGACCUUGGCCAGGGCAGAGUUAAUAGCGAAAAAGAGUUUCCGAUAUUACAAACUCGAGUCGAAUAAAUUUGACAUAUGAUAGAUGAUGGGGUUUGACGAGUUAUUCCAUGACCUCCGUCUAGUUGGGACUCAUGAUAGAAGGACUGUAUCACACGGUAACUGUAUCAAGAGGUUCAGUAUUUCAUUAUAUUGGAAUGCCACUAUAUGCUGCUAGGUGUCAAUGGUGGAUUGUGCGACUCAUGAGAAUUAUCUAGAUGAUCAAUGAUCUCAUUAGGCUGAGUUGGAAUUGUUCCGAUCCACUGGAAGGAGUUUCAGUGAUAUUGUUGAUAGUGAUCAAAAUAUAUCUCACAACCAGAUAAUAGAACCUAUGGGGUCACACACAUAAGAGGUUGUGACUGAUCAGAUAGCUAGAUCGUGAUUUUUGAAUCUUCACAGGACCUAAUUGUUAAUAUGUUGAUAGUUGGACUAAUUUGUAAUUAUUAAAAAUUAGUGGUAUUAAAGUGUAAAUGUUACAAGAUAGGACUUACUAAUAGUUAGUAAAUUAUGAGAUGACUUAUAUGCAACUAUUGCAUUAUUAAUUUGAUAUGAUCAAAUUAAGUUAAGUUUAAGUGGAAUUAAAUUAUGAGUUGAUCGAUCUAACCAAUUAAGGAAAGGAUAAAUUUAAAUCUAGAUUUGUACUUAUCCUUAAUGGUCAUUAUAUUAUUAAAAGAGGAUUAUAUCCCUCUAUAUAAUAUACGGGAGUUUUUUGAAAACCCUAGUCGUCAUCUCGCUUCUCCUCUCUCUUCCAUCUUCUAGCA
rnacentral:lncRNA from 1 species